AUUGAACGCUGGCGGCAGGCCUAACUCAUGCUAGUCGAGCGGAGCGGCGGAAGGGUGAGUAAUGCCUAGGAAUCUUCCUGGUCGUGGGGGAUAACGUCCGGAAACGGGCGCAAAUACCGAAUAAUAUCAGAUGAGCCUAGGUCGGAUUCGCUCGGGGGUGGGGUAAGGCCUACCAGGCCCACGAUCCGUAACUGGUCUGAGAGGAUGAUCAGUCACACUGGAACUGAGACACGGUCCAGCCUCCUACGGGAGGCAGCAGUGGGGAAUAUUGGACAAUGGGCGAAAGCCUGAUCCAGCCAUGCCGCGUGUGUGAAGAAGGUCUUCGGAUUGUAAAGCACUUUAAGUUGGGAGGCGUUACCAACAGAAUAAGCACCGGCUAACUUCGUGCCAGCAGCCGCGGUAAUUC
rnacentral:rRNA from 1 species